rnacentral:rRNA from 1 species
UUGAGCUUGAUCCUGGCUCAGAUUGAACGCUGGCGGCAGGCCUAACACAUGCAAGUCGAGCGGAAACGAUGGAAGCUUGCUUCCAGGCGUCGAGCGGCGGACGGGUGAGUAAUGCAUGGGAAUCUGCCCGAUAGUGGGGGAUAACCUGGGGAAACCCAGGCUAAUACCGCAUACGUCCUACGGGAGAAAGCAGGGGAUCUUCGGACCUUGCGCUAUCGGAUGAGCCCAUGUCGGAUUAGCUUGUUGGUGAGGUAAUGGCUCACCAAGGCGACGAUCCGUAGCUGGUCUGAGAGGAUGAUCAGCCACAUCGGGACUGAGACACGGCCCGAACUCCUACGGGAGGCAGCAGUGGGGAAUAUUGGACAAUGGGCGAAAGCCUGAUCCAGCCAUGCCGCGUGUGUGAAGAAGGCCCUCGGGUUGUAAAGCACUUUCAGUGGGGAAGAAAGCCUUGGGAUUAAUACUCCCGAGGAAGGACAUCACCCACAGAAGAAGCACCUGUGCGUAGAUCUGCACUGUCGCUGCAC